rnacentral:rRNA from 1 species
UACGUAGGUGGCAAGCGUUGUCCGGAUUUACUGGGUUUAAAGGGUGCGCAGGUGGCCAUUCAAGUCCGUGUUGAAAGAGCUAGGCUUAACCUAGUAAACGGCAUGGAUACUGAUUGGCUUGAGGCUAGAGGAGGUAAGCGGAAUGUAGGGUGUAGCGGUGAAAUGCUUAGAUACCCUACAGAACUCCUAUUGCGAAGGCAGCUUACUACACUACGCCUGACGCUCAGGCACGAAAGCGUGGGGAGCAAACAGG